rnacentral:rRNA from 1 species
UACAGAGGGUGCAAGCGUUGUUCGGAAUUAUUGGGCGUAAAGCGCGUGUAGGCGGCUUUGCAAGUCGGGUGUGAAAGCCCUCAGCUCAACUGAGGAAGUGCGCCCGAAACUGCAGAGCUUGAGUACCGGAGAGGAUGGCGGAAUUCCCCAAGUAGAGGUGAAAUUCGUAGAUAUGGGGAGGAACACCGGUGGCGAAGGCGGCCAUCUGGACGGAGUACUGACGCUGAGACGCGAAAGCGUGGGGAGCAAACAGGG